rnacentral:rRNA from 1 species
UACAGAGGUCUCAAGCGGUGUGCGGAUUCAUUGGGCGUAAAGGGUGCGUAGGCGGCGCGGUAAGUCGGGGGGGAAAUCUCGGAGCUUAACUCCGAAACUGCAUUCGAUACUGCCGUGCUUGAGGACUGGAGAGGAGACUGGAAUUUACGGUGUAGCGGUGAAAUGCGUAGAUAUCGUAAGGAAGACCAGUGGCGAAGGCGGGUCUCUGGACAGUUCCUGACGCUGAGGCACGAAGGUCAGGGGAGCAAACGGG